UACGAGGGGGGCAAAUGUUGUUCGGAAUCACUGGGCGUAAAGGGAGCGUAGGCGGGUUUCUAAGUCAGGUGUUUAAUCCCGGGGCCCAACCCCGGACAGGCACUUGAAACUGGGAAUCUUGAAUAGUGGAGAGGUCAGUGGAAUUGGGGGUGUAGCGGUGGAAUGCGUAGAGAUCCCCAAGAACACCAGUUGCGAAGGCGGCUGACUGGACACAUAUUGACGCUGAGGCUCGAAAGCAUGGGGAGCAAACAGGGAUUAAGAUA
rnacentral:rRNA from 1 species